CACGAACGCUGGCGGCAGGCUUAACACAUGCAAGUCGAGCGCCCCGCAAGGGGAGCGGCAGACGGGUGAGUAACGCGUGGGAAUCUACCCAUCUCUACGGAAUAACGCAUGGAAACGUGUGCUAAUACCGUAUACGUCCUUCGGGAGAAAGAUUUAUCGGAGAUGGAUGAGCCCGCGUUGGAUUAGCUAGUUGGUGGGGUAAAGGCCUACCAAGGCGACGAUCCAUAGCUGGUCUGAGAGGAUGAUCAGCCACACUGGGACUGAGACACGGCCCAGACUCCUACGGGAGGCAGCAGUGGGGAAUAUUGGACAGUGGGGGCAAGCCUGAUCCAGCCAUGCCGCGUGAGUGAUGAAGGCCCUAGGGUUGUAAAGCUCUUUCACCGGUGAAGAUAAUGACGGUAACCGGAGAAGAAGCCCCGGCUAACUUCGUGCCAGCAGCCGCCGUAAUAC
rnacentral:rRNA from 1 species